CAGUCGAGCGACAGAUAAGGAGCUUGCUCCUUUGACGUUAGCGGCGGACGGGUGAGUAACACGUGGGUAACCUACCUAUAAGACUGGGAUAACUUCGGGAAACCGGAGCUAAUACCGGAUAACAUUUGGAACCGCAUGGUUCUAAAGUGAAAGAUGGUUUUGCUAUCACUUAUAGAUGGACCCGCGCCGUAUUAGCUAGUUGGUAAGGUAACGGCUUACCAAGGCGACGAUACGUAGCCGACCUGAGAGGGUGAUCGGCCACACUGGAACUGAGACACGGUCCAGACUCCUACGGGAGGCAGCAGUAGGGAAUCUUCCGCAAUGGGCGAAAGCCUGACGGAGCAACGCCGCGUGAGUGAUGAAGGGUUUCGGCUCGUAAAACUCUGUUAUUAGGGAAGAACAAACGUGUAAGUAACUGUGCACGUCUUGACGGUACCUAAUCAGAAAGCCACGGCUAACUACGUGCCAGCAGCCGCGGUAAUACGUAGGUGGCAAGCGUUAUCCGGAAUUAUUGGGCGUAAAGCGCGCGUAGGCGGUUUCUUAAGUCUGAUGUGAAAGCCCACGGCUCAACCGUGGAGGGUCAUUGGAAACUGGGAAACUUGAGUGCAGAAGAGGAAAGUGGAAUUCCAUGUGUAGCGGUGAAAUGCGCAGAGAUAUGGAGGAACACCAGUGGCGAAGGCGACUUUCUGGUCUGUAACUGACGCUGAUGUGCGAAAGCGUGGGGAUCAAACAGGAUUAGAUACCCUGGUAGUCCACGCCGUAAACGAUGAGUGCUAAGUGUUAGGGGGUUUCCGCCCCUUAGUGCUGCAGCUAACGCAUUAAGCACUCCGCCUGGGGAGUACGACCGCAAGGUUGAAACUCAAAGGAAUUGACGGGGACCCGCACAAGCGGUGGAGCAUGUGGUUUAAUUCGAAGCAACGCGAAGAACCUUACCAAAUCUUGACAUCCUUUGAAAACUCUAGAGAUAGAGCCUUCCCCUUCGGGGGACAAAGUGACAGGUGGUGCAUGGUUGUCGUCAGCUCGUGUCGUGAGAUGUUGGGUUAAGUCCCGCAACGAGCGCAACCCUUAAGCUUAGUUGCCAUCAUUAAGUUGGGCACUCUAGGUUGACUGCCGGUGACAAACCGGAGGAAGGUGGGGAUGACGUCAAAUCAUCAUGCCCCUUAUGAUUUGGGCUACACACGUGCUACAAUGGACAAUACAAAGGGCAGCUAAACCGCGAGGUCAUGCAAAUCCCAUAAAGUUGUUCUCAGUUCGGAUUGUAGUCUGCAACUCGACUACAUGAAGCUGGAAUCGCUAGUAAUCGUAGAUCAGCAUGCUACGGUGAAUACGUUCCCGGGUCUUGUACACACCGCCCGUCACACCACGAGAGUUUGUAACACCCGAAGCCGGUGGAGUAACCAUU
rnacentral:rRNA from 1 species